rnacentral:rRNA from 1 species
ACGCUCGACACCUACGGGCAGCAGUGGGGAAUAUUGCACAAUGGGGGAAACCCUGAUGCAGCGACGCCGCGUGAGCGAAGAAGUAUUUCGGUAUGUAAAGCUCUAUCAGCAGGGAAGAAACUGACGGUACCUGACUAAGAAGCACCGGCUAAAUACGUACCAGCAGCCGCGGUAAUCUGAGCGGGCUGGCAAGGC